CGGCAUUUUACGCAAAAAUGUUACCACAAUACAAUGCCGUAAAGCUGACCCCGCUAUCAUUUUUUCUUUAACUAGAAAAAUUUCAUAAAGUAGUAAAAUUCGAAAAAACUGUUUCUGCGAUCAUUUAAAAAAUGGAGGGUGAUGGAGAAAAACGGACGACGUAGUCGUUUUCAGCGCAUCAAAAUUCUAUAGAAACGUCAUUUAAAGUUCAAAGAACCCCUUUCCCCCACCACUAAUUUUGUAGACCUGUGAUAUUAUUUAAUAAAUAUUGUCAAAUCGGGGUAUAUAAAAUAAUUAUAAUCUCUGGAAUUAUAGAUUUAAAAGUUUUGUAAAAUUUUUAACAGUGAAGUUAAAUUAUCUUCAUCAAGCGAAGAAAGUUCAUAUGAAACAGACCAUGAGACAGACAAAGUGCAGUCUACAUUUGAAGAAUUAAACGAAAAUAUUUCUUUUAAAGAAAAAAUACGUAAUUGGUCUAUGAAACAUAUUUCAACUUUAAAUAACAAAAUGUUAUCUGAAUUACUAUGUAUUUUGAAAACUGAACACAAUGAAUUUCCACAGACAGCUACAACAUUUCUGCAAACUAAAAAAGCAAAAAAUAAUGUCAAGUUUAUGUUAGGAGCUAAUGGAUCUUUCGGUACUUAUGUUUAUUUCGGUUUGGAAAAAGUUCUUAAAUUGAUGAUAAAUUCCUAAAUAUAUAUGAAAGACUUUAUUGAAAUUUUGGUUAAUAUUGACGGUGUACAAAUUUAUAAAAGUUCAAAACAACAAUUUUGGUCUAUAUUAAUCAUGUUACAUAAUAAAAAGUAUAUUGUCAAACCUCAAGUUGUCGCUAUAUAUCAUGGUGACUCUAAACCAAAAUCACCAACGGAAUUUCUAGAUAAUUUUAUAACAGAAUUAUUAAGUUUAAUGGCCAAUAAAAUUACAAUAGAAAAUAAAUUAUACAGUAUUAAAGUAUUAGGUUUUGUAUGUGAUACACCGGCUAGAGCGUUUAUAAAAUGUGUAAAGUCUCACGUUGAUUUUUACGCAUGCGAACGUUGUACAGUAAAAGGCCAAACCGUUUUUAAGAAUAAACGCAUUUAUGCAAGCAUUACUUGUGAAAAACGCAGUAAACAAUCAUUUGAAACCCGUAAACAACCUGAGCAUCAUCUGAAUAAUGAAAUCUCUCCAUUAUUGAAAAUUCCAGAAUUUGAUCCGAUAAAAUCAGUUGUUUUAGAUUCAAUGCAUCUUUUAUUUCUAGGAGUUACAAAAACUUUAUUAAACAAUAUUGUAUAUGGUGGUCGCAAGAUAGGUGGAAUUGGUCCACGAAAUCGUUUGGUAUUAUGUAAAUUACUUCGCAGUUUUUCUAGUCAAAUUCCUGUAGAAUUUCAAAGAAAAGUUAAUGAUAUUAUGGAUUUAAAAAAUUGGAAAGCUACACAAUUUCGUUUUUUUCUUUUGUAUGGUAGUGCAUUAGUACUUCGUCAUGUUCUGCCUAAUGAUAAAUAUAAGCAUUUUUGUCUACUGUACGUAGCAUGUCGACUAUUAUGCAAUGAUAAUUUUGCGGUAUCAAACGUAGAAAAUAUAAAAAAGUUGUUAAUAUUAUUUUUUCGUUUAUUACCGAGAUUUUAUGGUCCCAAUGUACAAAGUAUUAAUUUCCAUAACUUGAUUCAUAUAGCAGAUGAUGUAACUCACAUGGGUUGUUCACUGACUUCAAUUUCGGCGUUUCCAUUCGAAAAUUUUUUGAUGACUUUAAAAAAACUAGUUCGUACUCCAAACAAUCCUUUAAGUCAAGUUGCAAAUCGUUUAAGAGAAAUUAAUUUAAAUACUGAUAUUAAAAUUCAACGAAUUGUACCAGUAACAGAUUAUGUAAAAACCAAAAUUGUUGAUUUAGAAAAUCAUAUAUUAAAAAAUACAUUUACAAGUGUCACAUGGAAGGGAAUAAUUAUUACUAAUACUUUACCUAAUAAUAUUGUACAACUUAAAAAUGGUGAAAUUAUUCAAAUUAAUAAAAUUUUUUCAUAUAAUUUUUCAAAUAAAGAAAAUAUUGAAUUAAAAGGAUAUUUGUACUAUCAUAAAAGAAAUGUUUUUACGUAUCCUUAUAAAUCAUCUGAUAUCGGCUUAUAGCAAGUAGUUUUAAGCAAACAUCAUCGUACUUUUCAAAUUAAAAAAAUUAAACAUAAGUGCAUACUUUUACAAGUUAAAAAUAAUACGUAUUGCGUACAAUUAUUACAUACUUAAUAUUAAUGCAUAAAAAUAUUGUAAUAAUUAUAUUAUCAUAAUAAAAAUAUUAUAAUAAUUAUAUUUACUACGAUAUAUCUUUAUACUUUAUGUAAAAGGUGUCUCAAAAAGCUCGGAUCCUCUCUUAAGAGCGAAUUCUUUGAAACAUUCUGUAAGAACAAAAUUCUAAUACAAAAAUGUCGAAGGCAUAAUGGUUUUCAAAUUAUUCGCGAUUAAAGUUUACGAAUUACAGAGCUGACAUUUCGCGCGCUCAGGCAUGGUGACAUGACAAGGACCACAAGAAACCGCUAUACAUGUAAGAGAUGAUUUUACCUCUUGAUACUGUAUAAUGGACGCAACUGAUAUUUUCUAAAAUUAUCUAUUUAUAUUACCUAAAUGUGUGUAAAGUUUCAUUAAAAUCGGGAUGUGACAUUUCGAGAGGUUCCCUUAUUAGUAAUAUUUUAAAUAGAUUUUAAUUGAAACGUUUCUUAAAUAAUUCUAAAAAAUUUCGUGUCAUAUGGGCAGUGGAAAAAAAUUUAAUGGCAGCAAAAAUCAAUAAAUUUAAAUGACAGUCGAGCCUUAUCAACGAGUUAUCGUUACGAAAACAGAUGAUAUAGAGUAAAUAUUCCGAAAGUGAGAAGAAAAAAUAUUUAUUUGUGAUAUUUACGAGUUAAAUUUUGUGUAGAAAUAAUAAUGAACAGUUCCUCAUAUCUGUAAGUACAUUUAUAUUUGGUUUGUGUUUUUAUAAAUGACUUUAGUAAUGCAAGAAACGAUCAAUUCACAUGGAGUUUGUUUCGUAAAAAAUAUGCAAAUAAUAGUUGAUACAGAUUACCCACCUUUUACAAUAAUUUUAUGAAUUGGUUGUUUCUUGCGGGGUCAAAUAAAGGUUAAUUAUUAAGUAAUUAAUAACUUAUAUAGAACCGAAUUAGAUGACAAUGCUACGCAUAUUAUCGUGUGGUUUUAUAAUAUUCGGCGUAAAGAUGAAAAAUCGUGUAUAGACCUAGUACCAAGAGAGUGGUUAAUAAAAAUUAAACGUUCAUGGUACUGCAAAUAUCCAUCAAAAUCUGAAUAUGACAAAGUACAGGAGUGGAGUAAAGAACGAAAAAUUCCUGAAUCAACGUGGAAAUAUUAUCCAAUUAUAUUAAUAAAGGAAGCUAGUAAGUAUAGAGGCUAAUGCAGAAUUAAUACAACUUUAAUUAAUAUAACUUUUUUAAUAUUUUACUUUUUACCAUUAUAAAAAAAUAAUAUGUAUGUGUGUGUAUAUUUUGUGUGCAUAUGUCCAUCUAUAUUUAUAUAUUAGGUAAUUUUGACGAAGGACAACGCCGUGUAGCACGCUUCUCAGAAGGGAAUGUUAUAUUAUCAAGUGAACUAUCCGAUGAAAGCGAUGAAAGUACUGAAGAAUGUGAAAAUGACACGGAAGAUAGAUCAGAUGUAUUAGAACUCAGCAACACGGAAACUUUUUCACAUUUAAAAAUUGUAAAAAGAAAAAUAACAGAAAUAGAGGAAAGUAUUCAUUAUAAAUACAUUUAUUCAUUGUUAAAAUCAGUUAAAUUGAAAUUUAUAAAUUUAUAACUGCUAUUUUGCAGAUGAUGUUUCAACCUGUUCAUCGGAUAAUUCACCCAGUAUUUUAAAAAAUAAAAAAAGUUUACCUUCUGCACGUUUAACACUUAAAGAAAAUAUUAAACGUAAAAAAUUUAGUGAAAAAGCAGAUAAAAAUUUAAAUACAGUGCAACAAACAAAAUUAAGCAUGAUACGUAUAGAAAAUAAUGAAUCCAGUGAAGUGGAGAGUGCCUGCUGUGAGCAAAUGAAAGCAUUUUUACAACCAAAGAUGGAUAGUAUCAAAAGAAGUAUUCUUUAUGAUAUCCGAAAAGGAUUUCAAGAAUUACAAAAUAAUUUGUUGUUGAAUUUGCCAAGACAAGAAGAAAUGAAUCCAAUUUCUGCUCUAAGACAAAUUAUAGAAAUCAAAUUACCAACAUCAUUAGAAGAGUUUGAUAAUUUGGAUUCAGUAAUGGACAACGAUGAAAAAAAGAAUGCCUUGGUAAAUAAUUUCUUUCUUUUUUCUUAAAUUAAAAAAAAAAUUUUAAACUUGUACAAGAAAGUACAAUUUUAAAUACAACAUGCUUAUUUUAAAAUUUUAUGACUAUUAAGAGAUACAAGUCAUUCAUGCAAGACUAUUUUUCGAGUUAAUGUUGCACAAAUUAUAUACAAUAUUACCAAACGUGCGACAUCACAUGAGAUGCCAAACGAUUUGCUGGAAUAAUCGUUAUGCGCGAAUGUUGAGAAACGUGAAAUACCAGUAGCAAGAAAUCGCCGGUUCUCGCUAAUAAACCUUUUUUUCCUUCCUUGAUCUUCCUCGUUUAAAAUCUCUUUUUUGAGUGAUAACGUGUUUUGUUUUCACAAAUAUGAGUCAGUAUAAACCUUGUUGUAAUUCAAACAUUCUUUAUGCUUGCUUGUGUAGAAAUUUUUCUAGAUUACUAAAUUUUUAACCUUAAAAUGUUCAAUCGACUCUAAUUGAUUAUACAAGAAGUACAGCAAGUAAUCUAAGUUUUGGCAUUUUUUCUUGAAAUAAAGGUUAAAUGCCAUCACUAUUUACAGAUAAUCUCUUAAAUAAAUAAUAAAUAUUUUUUCUUAAGUAAUUUAUAAUUUUUUUAUUUUUAUAGCGUUCAUUAUUGGAGAAAUAUGUUGAAACGCAUAAAAAGGCUAUACAUGAUGCUUUGUCAUCUAUAAAGUCUAAAAAUGUUCAGAUCCAAUUUACUGCUUUCGGUCGAAAAAAAAGAACAUAAAAAACUAAAUUUCAGUACGACUAAUAUUUAUAAACUUCUUAUGGGUAUGUUAUUUGAGAUUUUAACUUAAUAUUAUUUAUAAUAUUAUUAAUUACGUACAUUAUAUAUACACAGAGUAAACAAUUUUUUUGAAAAAUAAAUUUUAUUGUAGCCAAAUAAAUUUAUUUGGAUUAGUUCAACCCAACUAAUUUUUAAAAAUCAAUAAGCAUGAUUAAUAGUAACUUUACUUUCGUCGAAUAAUAGAUUUCUUAAAUAUAAUAAAAUAAAAUUUUUAUUCAAACAAGUAAUAUUUUGUAUAAAUAUUAUGUAUGUUUCAAUGAAAUAACUUUAUAUUGUUUCAUUGAAAUAACUUUUAGUCAAAUAAAUAAGAAUACUAAAUCUAAAGAAAUCUUUACUCAUCUGUAUACUACUCGUACAUAUAAACAUUACAUAUUUUCCACCAUCUAUUGAUAAAGAGUAUUUUCCAUCAAGCGACACGGUUGAAAUAGUGUAACAAAGUGAAUCAUUAUAUCCUUGUUGUUUGUCAGUAUUAACAAGGAAAUAAUGUAUUACACUCUGUCCUUCCUUGUUUCUUGCUGAAAAACUAUGCCCACAAACUACGACUAUGAAUACGCACACGAUCUGCACAAUUUUUGUUAUGAUAAUCACGUGUUGAUAUAAAAGUACUUAUUAAAGUAUUUUGAAUUAAUUUUUUAAACUCGCGACAAUUAGAUUAAUAUAUAUUAAUAAUAAUAAUAAUAAUAGAUUAAUAUGCAUUAAUUAUUUAAUAGAUAUUCUUGUCAGUAAAUUUGGCAUUAGAGAAGAAAAAAAUAUAAAUUCUUCAAUGAGCCGGUGGUUCUCCGGUGCAAUGGAUCGAUGUGGAGGUCGAAAGGAGAGGGAAAAUGAAUAAAUGAUAAUAAUAAAAAAAAAAAUAAAAUGUUAAAUGUUAAAUGCUAAAUGUUAAAUGUUAAAUUUUUAAUAAAUUUGCUGCACAUUCAAGUAUAA